GUCCCUUCCGGGACAUCCAAUAAAAUUGGAAUGAUGCAGAGAAGAUUAGCAUGGCCUUGUACCCUAAUAUUAUUCGAAUAAAAAUAUCAACUACUCAU
rnacentral:snRNA from 1 species